UGUAGAAAAAUAAAUAUAAUAACCAGAUGAUCAUUCAUUCUACAUUUAGUGAGCAAUUGCUAAGUGCUUAGGAUAUAAGUGAAAUGAAGUCCUUGCCCUUAAACAGUUCACUCUCUAGGGGAGAGACAAAUACAUACGUGAGCAGAUUAUUAUGUAAGCUCCGAAGAAAGCUGCUUAACCCGGCCAGAAGAAACAGGAAAGGCGUCUUGGAGUAAGAUGUCCAAAUAAUAAGGGGCAGGCAGGUGGAGAAUCACAUCCAGGGAGGAUAUUAUAAGCAAAGACAAGCAAGUGAAAGUGGGAUGUGUAUAAGAAUUACAAAGAGUUUGGUAUUGCUAGAGCAAGAUAAAGUUCUGGGCAGGCGUCAACAGCAUGGUACUUGGUAGCAGAGAAACAUUUUGUCAAGAAAAUUCUCCUCCUGGGCUGGGUGUGGUGGUUCACACCUGUAAUCCCAGCCUUUGGGAAGCAGAGGUGAGAGGAUCACUUGAGCCCAGGAGUUUGAGCCAACAGAGUAAGACCCCGUCUCAAAAAAAGAAAAAAGAAAAAAAAUUUAUCCUUCAAAUAUUGCAGAAUAAAAGAUAUUGCACAAAAUACUUUCAUGAUGAUGUGAACACUAAUUCCUGCCUUCCAAAAAUGAAGCAGGAGGAUAGGCAAGGGCCAAGACCUUUAGUUGAGACUUAGAUAUCAGAUCGUACUUUAGGGAGAUUAUUAGAGUAGCCAUUUGAAGGAAGGGUGGAUGUGAGGCAAACAAGUCUAUAGGCGAGAGGACUGGUUGGGUUGUAGACCAAGAGGCAAGAGACAGCAAAGUCCAUAACCUCAACAGUGGUGGCAGAGGUGGAGAAGAGGGAUGGAUUCAAGACAUAUUGAGAAAAUAAAGUCAGCAGAACCUAGUAAUUCAAUGGAACUGGGAAAUUAAAAACAGAUGAGAACCAGGAAUGGCUUACAGAAUUCUGGUUCAGGCUUGAAUUGGAACCAACAUUUGAUAAAGGAAGAUGAUCCGUCCGACAUCUUAGUGAGGCUGCAUGUCUGCUGCUGCUCUCUGAGCUUCACAAUGCUGCCCAAGGACGACAAGAAGAAGAAGGAUGCCAGAAAGUCGGCCAAGAAAGACAAAGACCUGGUGAACAAAUCCGGGGGCAAGGCCAAAAAGAAGAAGUGGUCCAAAGGCAAAGUUUGGGACAAGCUCAAUAACUUAGUCUUGUUUGACACAGCUACCUAUGACAAACUCUCUAAGGAAGUUCCCAACUAUAAACUUAUAACCCCAGCUGUGGUCUCUGAAAGACUGAAGAUUUGAGGCUCCAUGGCCAGGGCAGUCCUUCAGGAGCUCCUUAGUAGAGGACUUAUCAAACUGGUUUCAAGGCACAGAGUUCAAGUAAUUUACACCAGAAAUACCAAGGGCGGAGAUGCUCCAGCUGCUGGUGAAGAUGCAUGAAUAGGUCCAACCAACUGUACAUUUGGAAAAAUAAAACUUUAUUAAAUCAAAAAAAAAAA